rnacentral:rRNA from 1 species
AUAUUAAUAAGCGGAGGAAAAGAAACUAACUAGGAUUCCCCCAGUAAGGGCGACUGAAGCGGGAAGAGCUCAAGCCUGAAAUCUGCGCGCCAAGCGGUGCGCCGAGUUGUAGUCUAGAGAGGCACUGUCAGCGAGUGGCCGCGGUAGAAAUCCUUUGGAACAGGGUAUCACAGAGGGUGAGAAUCCCGUAUGUGACUGCGAGUCCGCCGCGUACGACGUGCAUUCUUCGAGUCGCUUGCUUGGGAGUGCAAGCCAAAGCGGGUGGUAAACUCCAUCGAAAGCUAAAUAUCAGCGAGAGACCGAUAGCGCACAAGUA